GAUGAACGCUAGCGGCAGGCCUAACACAUGCAAGUCGAGGGGUAGAAGUUGCUUGCAACUUUGAGACCGGCGCACGGGUGCGUAACGCGUAUGCAAUCUACCUUGUACAGAGGGAUAGCCCAGAGAAAUUUGGAUUAAUACCUCAUAGUAUUAUUGAGUGGCAUCACUUAAUUAUUAAAGUUCCAACGGUACAAGAUGAGCAUGCGUCCUAUUAGCUAGAUGGUAAGGUAACGGCUUACCAUGGCUACGAUAGGUAGGGGUCCUGAGAGGGAGAUCACCCAGACUGGUACUGAGACACGGACCAGACGCCUACGGGAGGCAGCAGUGAGGAAUAUUGGUCAAUGGGCGCAAGCCUGAACCAGCCAUGCCGCGUGCAGGAAGACGGUCCUAUGGAUUGUAAACUGCUUUUGUACGGGAAGAAACACUCCCUCGUGAGGGAGCUUGACGGUACCGUAAGAAUAAGGAUCGGCUAACUCCGUGUCAGCCGCCGCCGUAAAAC
rnacentral:rRNA from 1 species